rnacentral:tRNA from 1 species
GAGAAAGUUACAAGAACUGCUAAUUCUUGACUCCAUGAAUAAAAUCAUGGCUUUCU